AUUGAACGCUGGCGGCAGGCCUAACACAUGCAAGUCGAACGAGUGGCGGACGGGUGAGUAAUGUCUGGGAAACUGCCUGAUGGAGGGGGAUAACUACUGGAAACGGUAGCUAAUACCGCAUACCAUCGGAUGUGCCCAGAUGGGAUUAGCUAGUAGGUGGGGUAAAGGCUCACCUAGGCGACGAUCCCUAGCUGGUCUGAGAGGAUGACCGGCCACACUGGAACUGAGACACGGUCCAUACUCCUGGGGGAGGCAGCAGUGGGGAAUGUUGCACAAUGGGCGCAAGCCUGAUGCAGCCAUGCCGCGUGUAUGAAGAGGGCCUGCGGGUUGUAAAGUACUUUCGGCGGGGAGGCGUUACCCGCAGAGGACGCACCGGCUAACUCCGUGCCAGCGGCCGCGGUAUAC
rnacentral:rRNA from 1 species